CACGACGUUUCGGGCGGACGCCCUUCUUCAGUGAUAGACGCGAUAGACGUUUUUCGCGUCUCUCACUUGAAGAAGGGCGUCCGUCCGAAACGUCGU
rnacentral:pre_miRNA from 1 species